UGGCUGCACUCAAGGCAUGUGGAAGUUCCUGGGCCAGAAAUCCAACACAUGCCACAGCAGCGACAAUGUCAGACCCUUAACCCCAUGAGCCACAAGGGGAGUCUUGCUUUUCUUAUAGUCAUUGCCCUCUUUCCUGGGUCUGGUUCAUAAAGAGCUAUGCGUAAAUCAAGACCUCCUGUGUUUUAGGAAUACAUCCUGCCUGGCAGUUGUGUUCUUCAGCACACAUUUUUGGUAAUUUUCUUUAUCCCUAAAGAUAUCGAAGCUGUAAACAUUAUUUUUUUAAAAGACAGAAGUAGCAAACCGUACUACCUCUUCAAGUAUAGGUGUUAUUAGAGGAAAUAUAAAAGACAAGAAAAAGCACUGGGGAUGUGGGGCAAGAUGGUGUUCAGUCAAAUUCUCAUUUAAACCUGAAAAUAUUUCAGCUUGAGAAGUGGUUGGACCCUCCCUCGUCUUCCCAGGAUUGGUCUAACUUCUUUUGUUGAGGAUGACUGGCUAUUGCACAUAGAAUCAUUCACAUGGACAACUGAUGGAGUCAGAAGUCCUGCAUCCACAGCAUAAUGCCCAUCCGGAGGGCCUGGACAAGGUCAGUUAGUGUACAGCCUGCCGUCCUAGCCUUUAAGAAGGACCUUUAAGGUCCAUCAUUAGAUCUUUCGUGUUUUUAAUCAUUAUACCUGCUAUCAUGUAUGGAGGUUUCAGUCAUUUGCUAGACACUGAACUAGGUACUGGAUAUUAGAAUUGUAUACAUCUUGAAUAGUUGAAAAAUGUGAGAAAAGGAUAUGCGCUCAGCUUCACAAAAUAUCUAUAAGAAUAUAGAUAUCCAUUGCCUCCUUCCAAAGAGCAUGUGACCAUCCCAGAAGCCGGGCAUCGUCACUGCUGUUUUCCCCACUUUACAAGUGAGGACACUGAAACAGAAGCUCAGAGACGUCACCCUGGCUGUCUGUCAGGGCACUAACGCUCAGGAGCAUAGAUUUGUCGCAGGUCCUGCCUCCCUGAUGACAUAGUCUAUACUCUUUCCAUACGUCUCCUCUGUGUAUUUAGAAGAGCUCCUAUUAAUUUAGCUUCCUAAACAUGUAGGCAUCAGAUAAGACACAUUAUUUGAAAACUCAAAUUUGCAAACUGCUGUCAGCUUCAACCAAUGAUGACUCUAACCUUCAAAGCCACAGAGAAAAAGCUCUUUAGCUUAAGAAACCCCUCAAAGAAAAUAUUUGGACACAGAUUUGAACACACGAGCUCUAUAAUAAUAAACAAAUUAAGGAAUUCUCUGUGCAAAAAAUAGCCUGUUUUCUCUGCUUUUCAGAACUUCCUUCCUUAAUUGCCUGAUGUAGUCCACCACGGUUAGAAUCCCAUUUCGAUUAGCUGCUCCACUGAAAACCAAGACAACCACUAAACUAGAUUAUAUGUUAAUAACUACGUAAAUAUUCCCUCAGAAAAAAUAAUAAAAUUCCCAUGAAGACUUAAGAUCGAAUUUUCAUAAAAACAAAUGUGGAGGAAACAAAAAUCAUUUAACUUCAACGUGGUGAAGCCAUAUUUUCUGUCAUUUAAAUAUCUGAUCAGGGACUCAUAAAGGUAUUAAUCAUCUUAACAAUACAAUAAAAACCACAGAAUAAACACGGCAACAUCCUGUAAAAAAAGGAUGAUGAUGAAAAGCUUUGAAAUAUGGAAUUCAUGGGAUUAUAAAUAAAGAAAUGGUAACAUCUGGGAGAGAGGGUGACAUUUAAGGUUCAAGAACUACACUUCACCAUAUGAAUUAAGUAGUUCUGAGUUCCUUAUUUGGGUCAUUAGAAGUCAGGUUACCAUGACGGAUACAAAGAGAUUUAGACUUUGGAGUCCGAAAGACCUGGAUUCAAAGCCUAGCACCACCACUAACUAUAUGUAAGAUUUUAAACCGUCAGUAUGUCUUUACUUCAUCAUGUGUGAAGUACCUCCUCAAUACCUAAGAAUCGUGUGCACUGCCCUAGGAAACCCACUGACUUAAUUUCUUGGAAAAGCAAUUACAUCAGAUUGAUUAAAAGCAGGCAAAGCAGGAGAUUCCCUUAUGGUGCAGUGGGUUAAAGAGCCAGUGUUUCUGCAUUUGCAGCACAGGUUUGACCCCUGACCUGGGAACUUCCACGUGGCACACGUGCAGCCAAAAUAAAAAGUAGGCAGAGCAUAUGGUAUCACUCCGUGACUGUCAUAUCAAUAACUAAGCAGAAGCCAUUGGCUCUGAAGAUGUAAAUAAUGUAAAUGAUACAAAAUACUUUCUUGGUUUCACUGAGUAGUAGUUUAUAGAUCAUUUCUGGGUUUUGUUGUUGUUUUAAUCAAACCCAUCCCCUGUACAACAUCUCACUGAAGCAGAUCCCACUCUAACCUGGAAUUUGGCAUGACCUAGGUCUUGGAAAUUACCCAAUGUAAUCAUAUUGUUAAAAUUCCAGAAAGAAUUUAUUAUAAGGGUUGAAUUUUUUGUUUGUUUUACCUAUUAAAUAGCCCUACUGCAGAGAUAGCUGCCAGAGAUCUUAUAGGCUUAUUGCUAAAAACAGAAUUGAUUCCCAAGACAUACAGCCACACCACAAAGAAAAUAACCAUCAGAAACAAUGGGCAACUGAGCUAAGAACAUUUAGACAAGCUAGGGAAAAGGAUUCCUAUAAAUUUAACAAAAUAUCUUCCUGCUUCUAGUAGAUCUAUUGGAGAGAAAGAGUGUUCCCUGCAGUAUGCCAAAAAAUAGUGGCUAUAAACAAAGAGAUAGGGCAGAAUGAAAUUGGACUCCAUGGAAAUUCAUUUAAUGAUGCUUCAAGUUAUUUUCAGAAAAUUGGCAAAUGUGUGCGUUCAAUCAGUCCUUAACGGGACCCGAUCGAAUAAGGAAAUAUCAGUUUGUUGACUUUCGUUAGUACCUCACAGGAAAGCUUUUUAAGAGAACAUAUUACUUCCAACUCUUUGCCUUGCUGACAGACUUUCCUUCUGUCUUUUUCCUACCCUAACACGAUCAAUUAGCACAUGUUGAGCCAGAGUCCCCUUGGGCCUGUGCUACUCCCUGAAAAGAAAGGGGCAGCCAGGUGGUCCAGGUGGUUCCAGGCUGGUGAUGGUCACAGGAACCAGACGGCCUGUGGUUCCUGUGCCUGCCUUAACAACUCGC
rnacentral:lncRNA from 1 species